CACCGCUUAGGGCCUCCACCUCACGCUGUUACUCGAUGCUGCAGUCGACUGAAACAUACUCUGUUUUUCUAUUCCGAAACAGAGCAUUCUGCCAACCACCACGGAAGCCCAGUCCUCCACCACCCUCUCGGCUGCUCCAUGUCGUGCUGUGCCGCCGCAUAUCCUCCAUCCCGUAGUCUCUAUCCCCGACGACUUGUGCUCUAACCAGUGGCUCUUUGCCCCUCUUGGUAAGACCUUCAAACUACCACCUCUCAUCCUCUUCUCUCCACCGUUGGUCAAUAUCACGAAACCUAACCUUUCCCCCCACUAUACAGAGCUCGUGCCUCCGUGAGCCACCAUCACAGGGUAUCUCCACCUUCUCGGCUGUUCUCUUGGUAAAACUCUCACUUUCUUUCUCUAACUUGGUCCCUCCCUCAAGUUUGGUUUCUCUCACCGUAUUCUCUUUUUCGUGGGGGUGUUUCGUGUUUCAUCUUUAGGAAUGUUUCAACGUACCGUUUUAUUAUUAUACACGUGGAGGAACGGGUAGGGGGUUCCCAACUCCGUGUGCAAGUAGAGUUUUUCUAUCUCCCCGUCUCCGUCGGAUUGCGUUUGUUUUUCAGGAAGUAGCGAAUCUAGGGUCUGGAAAAACCUCAUUCGGGUAAAAUCUUCGUCAAAUUUCGACUAAAUUCGAGGUACGAUUUCGUGCGGUUCUGUAUAUGUAUUUGACAUUGUUGCCUCUCUUCGACCAAACGACACCGUUAAUCUGCCAGGAAACGCCUCAGAAGCAGUUGUGGUUUUCAUCUGCUUAGGAAAUAGCUACCUCUACAAUAUGAUCGUUGACUUGUACACAUUGUUCACCAUCUGUUACGACUCGUAGCUAUAGCCCAUGGGAAAUCUUGACCUUCCCAUAAACUAUUAACACUCCUUCAAACUGCCACACAGAGGAUCAUCCGAUUGGUGAGCUGCUCCAGUGUAUGCCGGAGUAUGAUUGAAUUAGACUCAAGAACAUGAAAACUUUACCUGGAAGGCCGAAGAAGCAGUUCCAAAGACGAACCCAUCUGGGAAAUCAAGCCUACUAACUGAUUCUGAGGUCACAAAGAAACGGGUUAGAAGAAAGAAAAUAAGGCUGACUUCCAUUGUGAAAGGUUUUGGAUAGAAUAUGAUCUUCUUCUUUUUUAAAUUUCUCAACGAGUUUCAGAUCAAAUUGCAGGUUAUUCAAGAAGGGGGAAGCACAGUUGAUUAUCUUAGUUGUAAGGGCGAAGAAUAUGGUCGAAGAAGAAAUGAGCAAGAGUGAGACUGGAAACUAUAGUACAUGAAGUUUUUCUUGGAUAUUUUAGAGGAGCACGGGGAAGUUGGCUGAAAAAAACUUUAUUAACUUUACCUUUUGUGUGCACGUUAUGCAAUAUACGUACAGGGAGGUCGUCUUCUCCCCUGGAUAACAGGGGAGGAUGCAUGCUCUACAAUUGUACAGAUAACAUCUGGACAAGAACAGCAAGUGCUUGUGUCUUUUUUUUUUUUUUUUAACUGUUUGUAAAAAAAAUAAAAAUAAAAAUAUUUACUUACCAUGUCACGUCAAUGUCAAAAAGUUAUUUAUAUUUUUCUUUUUUUGUAAUUAUUAUGUAUUGUACAGUGAGUAGGAGUAGGAGUGCUAGUAAAUCAAUCGGUUUCAGUU